rnacentral:rRNA from 1 species
UACGAAGGGGGCUAGCGUUGCUCGGAAUUACUGGGCGUAAAGGGUGCGUAGGCGGGUCUUUAAGUCAGAGGUAAAAUCCUGGAGCUCAACUCCAGAACUGCCUUUGAUACUGAGGAUCUUGAGUUCGGGAGAGGUGAGUGGAACUGCGAGUGUAGAGGUGAAAUUCGUAGAUAUUCGCAAGAACACCAGUGGCGAAGGCGGCUCACUGGCCCGAUACUGACGCUGAGGCACGAAAGCGUGGGGAGCAAACAGG